AUUGAACGCUGGCGGCAUGCCUUACACAUGCAAGUCGAACGGCAGCACGGGGGCAAUCCUGGUGGCGAGUGGCGAACGGGUGAGUAAUAUAUCGGAACGUGCCCAGUCGUGGGGGAUAACGUAGCGAAAGCUACGCUAAUACCGCAUACGAUCUAUGGAUGAAAGCGGGGGAUCGCAAGACCUCGCGCGAUUGGAGCGGCCGAUAUCAGAUUAGGUAGUUGGUGAGGUAAAGGCUCACCAAGCCGACGAUCUGUAGCUGGUCUGAGAGGACGACCAGCCACACUGGGACUGAGACACGGCCCAGACUCCUACGGGAGGCAGCAGUGGGGAAUUUUGGACAAUGGGCGCAAGCCUGAUCCAGCAAUGCCGCGUGCAGGAUGAAGGCCUUCGGGUUGUAAACUGCUAUUGUACGGAACGAAACGGCGAGCUCUAAUACAGUUUGCUAAUGACGGUACCGUAAGAAUAAGCACCGGCUAACUACGUGCCAGCAGCCGCAGUAA
rnacentral:rRNA from 1 species